rnacentral:rRNA from 1 species
UGAAUACGAGACGCUAAGGCGUCGAAGUAGUGUAUGUCAUACUUCCAAGAAAAGCUUGCACUGUCAUAAGUAAAAAAUGCCUGUACCAUAACCGACACAGGUGGGUAGGUAGAGUAUACUAAGGGGCGCGAGAUAACUCUCUCUAAGGAACUCGGCAAAAUAACUCCGUAACUUCGGGAGAAGGAGUACCUUAUUCUAUAAGGUUGCAAUAACAAGAUCCAAGCAACUGUUUAUCAAAAACACAGGUCUCCGCUAAGUCGUAAGACGAUGUAUGGGGGCUGACGCCUGCCCAGUGCCAGAAGGUUAAAGAAGUCGGUUAGCAUUAGCGAAGCUGGUAACUGAAGCCCUGGUGAACGGCGGCCGUAACAAUAACGGUCCUAAGGUAGCGAAAUUCCUUGUCGGGUAAGUUCCGACCCGCACGAAAGGCGUAAUGAUUUGGAUACUGUCUCGGAGAGGGGCUCGGUGAAAUAGACUUGUCUGUGAAGAUGCGGACUACCUGCACCAGGACAGAAAGACCCUAUGAAGCUUUACUGUAACUUGAAAUUGAAAUUGGACUUUAUUCGCGCAGUAUAGGUGGGAGGUGUUGAUUAUAAUCUUGCGGGAUUAUUGGAGCCAUCAGUGAGAUACCACUCUCGUAAUGUUAGAUUUCUAACUUUGAAUCAUUAUCUGGUCAAAGGACAGUUUCAGGCGGGCAGUUUGACUGGGGCGGUCGCCUCCCAAACGGUAACGGAGGCGUACAAAGGUUUCCUCUGAACGGGUAGAAAUCGUAUCUAGAGUGUAAAGGCAUAAGGAAGCUUGACUGUGAGACCUACAAGUCGAGCAGGGACGAAAGUCGGUCUUAGUGAUCUGACGGUACUGAGUGGAAAGGCCGUCACUCAACGGAUAAAAGUUACUCUAGGAUAGCAGGCUGAUCUCCCCCAAGAGUUCACAUCGACGGGGAGGUUUGGCACCUCGAUGUCGGCUCAUCGCAUCCUGGGGCGGUAGUACGUCCCAAGGGUUGGGCUGUUCGCCCAUGAAAGCGGUACGCGAGCUGGGUUCAGAACGUCGUGAGACAGUUCGGUCCAUAUCCGGUGUAGGCGUUAGAAUAUUGAGAGGAGCCUUCUUUAGUACGAGAGGACCGAGAAGGACAUACCUCUGGUGUACCAGUUAUCGUGCCAACGGUAAACGCUGGGUAGCUAUGUAUGGAGUGAUAACCGCUGAAAGCAUCUAAGUGGGAAGCCCACCUCAAGAUAAGUAUUCCC